CUAUGGAUGCCCUAACAGCCCCACGGGUGCCCUAUGGGUGCCCUACAGCUGCCCUACCCACCCUUUAGGUGCCCUAUGGAUGCCCUAUAUCUGCCCUAACAGCCCCACAGGUGCCCUACAUCUGCCCUACCCACCCUUUAGGUGCCCUAUGGGUGCCCUAUGGGUGCCCUAACAGCCCCACGGGUGCCCCACAGGUGCCCUACAGGUGCCCUACCCACCCUUUAGGUGCCCUACGGGUGCCCUACAGCUGCCCUAACAGCCCUACAGGUGCCCUACCAACCCUUGAGGUGCCCUAUAGCUGCCCUAACAGCCCCACGGGUGCCCUACAGCUGCCCUACCCACCCUUUAGGUGCCCUAUGGGUGCCCUAUAGCUGCCCUAACAGCCCCACGGGUGCCCUACAGGCUACUGCACGUUCUGCCCUCCACCGCCUGCAAUUCCGUGUGCGGCCACCAGGGGGCAGCACCCACUGCUCAUACAACUUCUGCCCUCCACCGCCUGCAAUUCCAAGGGCGGCCACCAGGGGGCAGCACCCCCCACUCCUCCACGUCCUUCCCUCCACCGCCUGCAAUUCCAUAGGCGACCACCAGGGGGCAGCACGCACUGCCCUCCACCGCCUGCAAUUCCAGCCAUGGCCACCAGGGAGCAGCACCCCCCACUUCUAUACCUUCCACCAUCCACCGCCUGCAGUUCCAAGGGUGGCCAGCAGAGGGCAGCACCCAUCGCUUAUACAACUUCUGCCCUCCACCGCCUGCAAUUCCAAGGGCGACCACCAGGGGGCAGUACCCCCCACUUCUACACGUUCUGCCCUCCACCGCCUGCAAUUCCAUGGGCGGCCAGCAGGGGGCAGCACCCAAAACUCCUACACCUUCUGCCCUCCACCGCCUGCAAUUCCAGAGACAACCACCAGGGGGCAGCACCCACUGCCCUCCACCGCCUGCAAUUCCAUAGACAACCACCAGGGAGCAGCACCCACUGCCCUCCACCGCCUGCAAUUCCAUGUGCGGCCACCAGGGGGCAGCACC
ensembl:lncRNA